GAUGAACGCUAGCUACAGGCUUAACACAUGCAAGUCGAGGGGCAUCAUUAUCGAAGCUUGCUUUGAUAGAUGGCGACCGGCGCACGGGUGAGUAACGCGUAUCCAACCUUCCCCUUAGUAGGGCACAGCCCGGCGAAAGUCGGAUUAAUUCCCUAUGUUGUCCGAUGCAGGCAUCUAAGUUGGACGAAAGAUUCAUCGCCGAGGGAUGGGGAUGCGUAGGAUUAGGUAGUCGGCGGGGUAACGGCCCACCGAGCCAUCGAUCCUUAGGGGUUCUGAGAGGAAGGUCCCCCACACUGGAACUGAGACACGGUCCAGACUCC
rnacentral:rRNA from 1 species